rnacentral:rRNA from 1 species
UACGAAGGGGGCUAGCGUUGCUCGGAAUCACUGGGCGUAAAGCGCACGUAGGCGGAUUGCUAAGUCAGGGGUGAAAUCCUGGAGCUCAACUCCAGAACUGCCCUUGAUACUGGCGGUCUCGAGUCCGGAAGAGGUGGGUGGAAUUCCUAGUGUAGAGGUGAAAUUCGUAGAUAUUAGGAAGAACACCGGUGGCGAAGGCGGCCCACUGGUCCGGUACUGACGCUGAGGUGCGAAAGCGUGGGGAGCAAACAGG